UAUUGUGAUAAAAUAAAAGUGAUGCAUGGCUUUUUUGUGAUCAGAAUUUCCCAAAUCGGAUCGUCUGCUCGAAAUUUUGAAGGAAGAAGAUGACCCGAGGAAAACAGAAGAUCGAAGCUCAGAAACGAAAUGCGGAGAAGAAUCAGAAGCCCAAGGGCUCACAACUCGAGGCCAGAGCCGUUGCCCUUAAAGUUAUCUGCCCUAUUUGCAAGGUACAACUAGCAAAUCAUAACCAAUUGGGCGAUCAUUAUGCCUCCAAACAUCCAAAGGAAAAGCCACCAUCAGAAUCGGGCUGAAUCGUCGCUUGCAUGUUUCAGUAUGUGUGUCACUAUAUAUUGAAGGCAUUUCAAAGUUCUCUGAUGUUCAGAUCAAUGAAAGUUGCUGGUAUUGUCUUCAUAUUUAUUGUUCUUAAAAUGUACUAGAAAGAAUGAUGAUUUGUUCUGUCACUUGUAAACCAAACUCUAGCAUGCUUCUUCCACAUUCCCAGUCUAA